UACGUAGGGGGCAAGCGUUGUCCGGAUUUAUUGGGCGUAAAGAGCGUGUAGGCGGCUUCACAGGUCCGCUGUGAAAACUCGAGGCUCAACCUCGAGCUGUCGGUGGAAACCGUGUGGCUAGAGUCCGGAAGAGGAGAGUGGAAUUCCCGGUGUAGCGGUGAAAUGCGCAGAUAUCGGGGAAGAACACCCGUGGCGAAGGCGGUUCUCUGGGCCAUUACUGACGCUGAGGAGCGAAAGCGUGGGGAGCGAACAGG
rnacentral:rRNA from 1 species